UACGUAGGGGGCAAGCGUUGUCCGGAAUCAUUGGGCGUAAAGAGCGUGUAGGCGGCCAGGUAGGUCUGCUGUGAAAACUCGAGGCUUAACCUCGAGCUGUCGGCGGAAACCAUCUGGCUAGAGUCCGGAAGAGGAGAAUGGAAUUCCCGGUGUAGCGGUGAAAUGCGCAGAUAUCAGGAAGAACACCCGUGGCGAAGGCGGCUCUCUGGGACGUGACUGACGCUGAGACGCGAAAGCGUGGGGAGCGAACAGG
rnacentral:rRNA from 1 species